AGCUUUGCGCAGUGGCAGUAUCGUAGCCAAUGAGGUUUAUCCGAGGCGCGAUUAUUGCUAAUAGAGAGCACUUAAAAAUUUUCUUAAAAUAUUGUAUUUAUUUGAGAGAGAAAG
rnacentral:snRNA from 1 species